CCGGCGAGAGGAGCUGACCUCCCUCGAACCUUCUUCUGCUACCUCCUACUACCUCGCCUUUCUUCUUCUCUUCACCUACCUCCUCCCAAGAUCUGACCAAGAGAGAGAGAGAGAGGGUCCGUUACAGGCUGGCGGCGCUUGACAUCGGAGGCGGCCGGCAGCGCACAUGCUCGGGGACGGCAGGCGGCGCGCAAGACCCGAGCGUCCGGCGGCGCUUGAUCUCAGGGCGGUCAGUAGCGCUUGAUCUCAGGGCGGCUGGCGGCGCUUGAUUUCGCGGACGGCCGGCGCUGCACAAGAUCCGAGCGGUCGGCGGCGCUUGAUCUCGGAGACAGCCGGUGGCCCUUGACUUCAGGGAUGGCCGGCGGCGUUUGAGAUCCUGGUUAGCUGGGGUCAAGCAAGAGUAGGCCAUCUACGGCGAGGAUGGCGGCCGGCGAGCAGCAGGGCCAAGCAAGAAGAGCUGGGUGAUGCCAAACACCUCCUUUUAACGGACCUGAGCCUGGGAGUUCUUCUCAUCUAUGGGAUCGACGAAGAGCAGCAGCUCUUCUCAACAAAGCAGCGGCUUACCUUAGCAGGCUGGGCCACAGAAAUUAUCUGAAGACACACAGGCUACCUGCUGUGCAACAUAUCUGUCUCAGCUCUGACUUGAGGCGCAAUGGCCGAGGUUGUGAUUCUCAUGGCAGUGGCAAAGAUCGGUGUAGCUCUGGGGAAUGAAGCAAUGAACCAGGCUACUUUACAGUUCUAUAACUUUAUAACACAGCUAACAGAGCUUCAAGGAAGCAUGGGUCGCAUCAGAAGGGAGCUCAGGUUGAUGCAUGAAUAUCUUUGCCGAAUGGACAUACGGAAUCGCAACAAUCAGACAUAUGAAAUCUGGGUGGAGGAGGUGAGAAUGCUUGUUCAUGGGAUUGAGGACAUUGUGGAUGAGUAUUUGCAUCUUGUUGGUCAGAAACAUGACAGUGGAUGGAGUGCCUAUCUGAAGAAAGGAUUCAAACAACCAAAUGUUUUAUUCUCUUUAAACAGGGUAGCUUCUUUGGUUAAGGAAGCGGAGGUCAAUCUUGUGCACCUGUUCCAGGCUAAAGAUCGAUGGGUGUCAAUGGUAGAUAGUGGGUAUAUGAAUGACUCAAGUUACAUUGUUGAGAGGUCUCAGCAUCUAGCAAGCACUUCACGUUCCCUUGCUGAAGAAGAUCUUGUGGAGGUUGAUGGAAACAGAAAAAAGCUUGAGCAGUGGUUGGCAGGUGAUGAGUUGGAACGCUCUGUGGUAGUGCUGCAUGGUAUGGGAGGGCUUGGUAAAACAACUUUGGCUGCAAAUGUCUACAGGAAGGAAACAGAAAAUUUUGAUUGCCAUUGUUGGGUCUCUGUCUCUCAAACUUAUUCCAGAGAAGAUGUUUUAAAAAAAUUAAUCAAGGAGCUUUUCAAAGACAAAGCCAUUGUUCCAUCUAAUAUUGAGACCAUGGACAUCAUAAGCCUUGAAGAGGCACUGAAGAAUUUUUUAGAGCAGCGUAAGUAUUUGAUCAUGCUGGAUGAUGUUUGGACUCCUGAAGCAUUUCAUGAUCUUUCUGGGGUGGUUAUUCGUAACAAGAAGGGCAGCAGAGUUGUAAUCACAACCAGGGAAGGCAAUGUUGCUCGACUUGCUUCUCAAGGACAGGUCUUAACACUAAAACCUCUAUCAAAGGAUGGAUCAUGGCAACUCUUCUGUAAGACAGCUUUCCCCAGAGAUACAAAAUGUGAGUGUCCCACAGAACUGACAGAAUUAGCACAUGAAGUGGUUGACAAGUGUAAAGGCAUACCCCUCGCAAUUGUCUCUAUUGGCAAGCUCCUCUUUGUACGUGACAAGACCAAAGAGGAACUGAAGCGAAUACAUGACCAGCUCGACUGGGAGCUAGUUAACAAUCCAAGCUUGGAACAUGUCAGGAAUAUCCUUUAUUUGAGUUACUUGUACCUUCCGACAUACUUGAAAAGUUGCUUUCUGUACUGCAGCUUGUUCCCAGAGGACUAUCUUUUCAAAAGGAAAAAGCUGAUACGAUUGUGGGUAGCAGAGGGCUUCGUCAAGGGAAGGGGUGAAAGCACAAUGGAGGAAGUGGCUGAAGGUUAUCUAGAAGAGUUGGUUCACAGAAAUAUGCUUCAAGUUGAUACAAGAAACCCAUUUGGUAGGAUAAAAUCAUUCAGGAUGCAUGAUAUUGUACGUGAGUUGGCAGUAGAUUUGUGUCGCCGGGAAUGCUUUGGUGUUGUUUAUGAGGAGGAUAAAUAUAUGGAAUCUCUUGAUGAGAUGGAUGCACGUCGACUGGUAAUACACAAAAUGAAGAAGGAUAUUUAUCAGUCAGUAUCAGGUGUACACCGUCUCCGCUCUGUUAUCGCAUUGGACAUCAAUAUUCCAUCCACUUUACUGCCUCUAAUAGCAAUGAAGUCCAGAUAUAUGUCGGUGCUGGAGUUAAGUGGCCUACCCAUUGAGAAAGUUCCAGAUGGUAUUGGAGAUCUUUUCAAUCUCCGCUAUUUGGGUCUGCGUGGUUCAAAAGUGAAGCUCCUUCCCAGGUCUAUUGAGAAACUUUCAAGUUUGUUGACACUGGACCUUUCAGGGUCUGGCAUGAAGGAGCUGCCUAGAGGCAUUGGUAAACUAAAAAAGCUUAGGCAGUUAUUCACUGACAAAGCUAGUGAUCGAUUUAGGAGAGAUUUCCGAUGCGGCAGUGGUGUAUGCAUCCCCAAGGGCCUUGAGAACCUGACAAGUCUGCAGACACUAGUAUCAUUGGAAGCGCAGGAUGAGUCCGUUAGACAGUUGGGGGAGCUGAGGCAGCUGAGAAGCUUGGAGAUAUGGAAUGUGAAAGGAACCUACUGUGGACAUAUAUCUGCUUCUCUAGCCGGGAUGCGACACCUUUCCUACCUACAUGUGAAUGCAAGCGAAGACAAUGAGGUUCUCCGGUUGAGUGGUCUACCCCCAAACCUGCAAAGGAUUAGCUUGACUGGCCGAUUAGCGGAAGGCACAUUGGUAGAGUCUCCUCUGUUCCAAACUGCGGGGCGGAACCUGUAUUCACUGUCUCUAUCUUGGUCCCAGAUGAUACAAGACCCCUUACCAUCCCUUUCUCGAUUGUCAAAUUUGUCAGACCUGAUGCUCACCAGGGCGUACAGAGGAAAGCAGAUGACAUUUCUUGCCGGGUGGUUCCCCAAGCUAAAAACCCUGAGACUGAGAGACCUGCCAAAUCUGGAGGUUCUAGAGAUGAAGGAAGGUGCCGUUGUGAGCCUCGAAAUAUUAACACUAGUCAACCUUGAAGGCAUGGUGGAGGUCCCACCUGGCAUAGAGUUUCUCGCGCAUGUAAAGCAUAUUUCGUUCCGGGAAAUCACCAGCGAGUUUUUGACUUCGCUGCGACAAUGUCCUAGAACUCAAGGGAUGCAGUGGCGGCAUACUCUCAGGUCGAUUUGGUGCUCGGGCUCAUCUGCACCUGAAAUCUGAGCCUUUGGUUGUUGCCUUGAGAUGGUAAAAAGCGUGUCAGAUGCGACAGAGCUGGACCAUGGAAAAAAGAGGAUACAGGCUAUAUACUGUAUGGCACAGUGCGCACGGGUGGGACAGUUUAGCUUGUGGCGUCGCUCCGUGAUUGCGGGCGUCUGAGCCGUGGCUCAGAACUUGUCCGAUGCUAGGCCAGGUCGUGAGGGGCCAAACGAGCCGUCCCUGGACUGCACGUCUGUUUGUGGGGUCCGCCUAGAGACAUGUCGAGGGUUCGGGACGGCCGGUUUGACGAGCAAUGAGGUCGAUUGCUGGUGGGGAGGUACCUCGCGGUAAUGGCGGGCCUGUUCACCGGUGAGUUUCUAUGCCGCAGCGCUUGCCUCUGGAUUUUCAUGCUUCGAUGGAUUCCCCAAUUCCCCGCCGCUGCUGCUUAUUCUGCAGUGGUUUUCAAGGUCCCCACCCAGGGAGGAGUUCGCGGACAGCUUGGAGCAGCCAAAUCCCGACACUCUAGGGUUCCUCCGUCUGUCCAUGGCCGCUGGGCUGCAUCGCCGCGUUUCCACCGCCCCAUCGCCGUCGACCCCCGACGCCACCGCUGCUCUCUAGAUCUCAGUCUCGCCGGCGCUCCUCACUGCCUUGCUCCCCUCUACUGGACAGCUGCUCGCCGGCGUCGUCUUUCUCCUGUACUGGUCGGCGGCAUCUCGUUCUCGGGCACUAACAAGUCCAUGUCCCCUUGGUUCUGCACGAGAUCUCUAGCCCGACAGCCUCCACCAGACACCACGGGUUCCUCCUCCUGGAGGAGUUCACCGACAGCCAUGGAGAACCAGAUCCAGUACUUCUGGUGUUGUUACCGUCAGGCGAGGCCGACAGAUCCGUGCCGGCGGAUUCGAAUUCUGAGUCUGGAUGCCAGGCGAGGCCACGAUAGGGCUUGCGGCGGCAGACGGGAGGUAUCUCCGGCUCGGUCCGCGCAGUCAGCUGACAGGGUCAACCCCGAGGCAUAAUGCACCUUUUGUCGGAGAUGGUUCCGGCACUUCCAUCUAAUACUUGCGGUGGCGUCUAGUCAGGACCUGAAGGCUGAGCUGACUCCUGGUGGUGAGGUGACGUUAAAAGUCUGGAGAUGCAUACAGCACAUGCUGAAUGCAAAGGAGAGGAUGUACCGCGGGUGGCUCGUGAGGUGGAGGGAUUCCGCGCUUUGUGAGCUUUACAGGGCAGACAAUGAAGUGGACUGGGAUUAUAUCAGCAUGACGAUGAACUCUUAAUUGAUAGGGUACAGAAUUGAUUAGCUGAAAAAGUUGAUGUUCCCAGUGCUUUUCAUGGACCGCUGGUCAUUAUACAUUCUCGAUACUGAGAAGAAGGUUCUGACGGUGUUUGACCCAACCGAGACAGAUCCGACAGAUGAGAUGAAGAGGAAGCACGAGGCAUUAGCGAGGAAGUUCCGGUUUAGAUUCUGCCACCUGUCCAAUGUCAUGUUGGGUGCAGGUGCAGGGUUGGUCGAGACGACUGGCUGGACAUUUGUGUACCCCCUGGUGGCGCAGCACGAACCAUGCAUGAGGUUAGCAGUGUGUAUGUCAUGCGCUACAUUCUGGAGUUCACUGGUCUUUACCUUGGUUCGAUGCUUACCCAAGCACAGCUUGAGCACCUAAUAAGAAAGAAAAUUGCAUAUGAGGUCAGUGAUCAUGAAGGGGAACAAGGGAAAUAUCCUGUAUUUCCUGCACAAAGAAAAUUUGUACUUAGAGACCUAAGCAGAUUAAUUAGAAUUACGGACGCUGCGAGCAAAGUUGUAUGGACAGAUUACCCUCUAUCUGAAUUCGCAAUGUCAUAACUAACUAUUGGUGGCGA